rnacentral:piRNA from 1 species
AUACUAAGACUCACACAUUUAAAGGACACA